rnacentral:piRNA from 8 species
UUGGUGGUUCAGUGGUAGAAUUCUCGCCUG